rnacentral:tRNA from 1 species
GCCUGGGUGGCUCAGUUGGUUAAGCGCCCGACUUCGGCUCAGGUCACGAUCUCACAGCUUGUGGGUUUGAGCCCCACGUCAGGCC